UGCAACGCAAUCCCUAACUUCUUUCUCAUUUUCAUUUGUGACCCACGCAGACGCAGUUCCCUUCCCUCUCACUGGUGUCCGUCGCGGUGGUGCCAUAGGUGGUGGUCGUGAUCGUUCUUUGGCGGCGGUGGUUGACGUUGGUGUCGGCCGUUCCGUGGUGGUCGAGCCGCAAUCCCCAACCUAGUUCUCUUCUCAUUUUAAUUUUUGACCCACACAGACGCAAUUCCCUUCCCUUUCACUGGUGUCCGUCACGGUGGUGCAUAGGGGUGGUGGUCGUCGGUCGUUCUUUGGCGGCGGUGGUCGACAUUGGUGCCGGCCGUUCGGUGGUGGUCGAGUCGAGAAAAAACGCAAUCCCUAACCUAAUCCUCUUCUCAUUUUCAAUUUCGACCCACUCGCAGUUCCCUUCCCUUCCCUCUAACUCCUGUCCGUCGCGGUGGUGCAUAGAGGUGGUGGUCGUCGGUCGUUCUUUGGCGGUGGUGGUUGACGUUGGUGCCGACCGUUCGGUGGUGGUCGAGCCGACGCUUCUUCUGCUCCUGCUGGUCCUCUGCUUAGCCACUCUCACUCGGUCAUUGUAGCAUUGGAUUCACUCUGUUAUGGUGUUGCAUAUGCAGGCUAAGAAAUAUUUGGAGGCUAAAUGAAUAGCAACUUUUGAACAUGUUUAGUUAGUUAGUUUAAAGUGCUUGUUUGUGUGUAUAUGGCAGUCCAAGCUGUAAAUACUAUGGUUCUCAGGAGGAAAUGACAUCUUUGCUUUUAUCAAA